AUUGAACGCUGGCGGCAGGCCUAACACAUGCAAGUCGCACGAGUGGCGGACGGGUGAGUAAUGUCUGGGAAACUGCCUGAUGGAGGGGGAUAACUAAUGGAAACGGUAGCUAAUACCGCAUAACAUCGGAUUUGCCCAGAUGGGAUUAGCUAGUAGGUGGGGUAAAGGAUCACCUAGGCGACGAUCCCUAGCUGGUCUGCGAGGAUGACCAGCCAGUCUUGACCUGAGACACGUUCCAGACUCCUCCGUGACGCCGCAGUGGGGAAUAUUGCAUAAUGGGGGCAAGCCUGAUGCAGCCAUGACGCGUGUAUGAAGAAGGCCUUCGGGUUGUAAAGUACUGUCAGCGGGGAGGCGUUACCCGCAGAAGAAGCACCGGCUAACUCCGUGCCAGCAGCCGCGGUAAUAC
rnacentral:rRNA from 1 species